UUUGAGAGUAGUUAAUGAGAACAGGGCAGUGUGAGGGGAUAUUGUAAACUUUAGUGUUUUAGAGUAGUUAAUGAGAACAGGGCAGUGUGAGGGGAUAUUGUAAACUCUAGUGUUUGGGAGUAGUUAAUGAGAACAGGGCAAUGUGAGGGGAUAUUGUAAACUCUAGUGUUUGGGAGUAGUUAAUGAGAACAGGGCAAUGUGAGGGGAUAUUGUAAACUCUAGUGUUUGGGAGUAGUUAAUGAGAACAGGGCAAUGUGAGGGGAUAUUGUAAACUCCAGUGUUUGAGAGUAGUUAAUGAGAACAGGGCAAUGUGAGGGGAUAUUGUAAACUCUAGUGUUUGAGAGUAGUUAAUGAGAACAGGGCAGUGUGAGGGGAUAUUGUAAACUCUAGUGUUUGGGAGUAGUUAAUGAGAACAGGGCAAUGUGAGGGUAUAUUGUAAACUCCAGUGUUUGAGAGUAGUUAAUGAGAACAGGGCAGUGUGAGGGUAUAUUGUAAACUUCAGUGUUUGAGAGUAGUUAAUGAGAACAGGGCAUAUUUUAAAGUUCAUUGUUUGGUAACAUUCGUUGUCAAGGGCGCUAUACACUUUUUAAAAUGAUGUGCUUCAGACAUAUGAAAUUGGAGAAAUAAUCCCCUAUGACAGCUGUAACAUCUGCAAAUGUGGUGUCUAUGGUAUCAUGUGUACACUGAUGGCGUGCCCUGAUAACUCGGGCAGAUGUUAUGUUAAUGGAAAGUGGUAUGAAAGUGGAACCAGUGUACCAAAGGCUGAUGGCUGCAACACUUGCUUGUGUCAAAAUGGACAAUUAACUAUUUGCACUAAGAUGGCAUGCAUUCACAUUUGAGAAGAAGUUUAGCAUUUUAAAAUAUUAAUAAAACGAGAGCAAAUCUGCUGACAAAUU
rnacentral:sRNA from 1 species